rnacentral:rRNA from 1 species
GACGAACGUUGGCGGCGUGCCUAAUACAUGCAAGUCAACUGAAAUACCGGUAGCAAUACUGGUAUGGAGGUGGCGCACGGGUGAGUAACACGUAGGUAAUCUGCCUUCAGGUCUGACAUAACCCAUCGAAAGGUGAGACUAAUAUCAGAUGAUGCAGCGGCUUGACAUCAAGACAGUUGUUAAAGCUUCGGCGCCUGAAGAUGAGCCUGCGUCUGAGUAGCUAGUUGGCGGGUAACGGCCCACCAAGGCUGCGAUCAGUAGCUGGUCU